UGGAUGAACAUGCAUGUGAAAUGUGCCAGG
rnacentral:piRNA from 1 species